UACGGAGGGUGCAAGCGUUAAUCGGAAUUACUGGGCGUAAAGCGUGCGUAGGCGGUUCGUUAAGUCUGUUGUGAAAGCCCCGGGCUCAACCUGGGAAUGGCAAUGGAUACUGGCGAGCUAGAGUGUGUCAGAGGAUGGUGGAAUUCCCGGUGUAGCGGUGAAAUGCGUAGAGAUCGGGAGGAACAUCGGUGGCGAAGGCGGCCAUCUGGGACAACACUGACGCUGAGGCACGAAAGCGUGGGGAUCAAACAGG
rnacentral:rRNA from 1 species